AAAGUCGUAACAAGGUUUCCGUAGGUGAACCUGCGGAAGGAUCAUUACAGAGUAGUUGGGUGUGGGGGGAUGGGGAGUUGGAAGGGGGAUAGAUUGGUUGUACAUGGAAGAGAUUCCUGAGGAUCAAUUUAUUUUCAAUUUCUUUCCUUCUCCUUCCAUCCAUCCUCCACACACAUACAUUUGCCGUGGGCACUGUGUCUUUAUGUAUGACUGAAUGAUUUUAUUUGUUUAAACAACUUUUAACAAUGGAUCUCUUGGCUCUC
rnacentral:misc_RNA from 1 species